rnacentral:lncRNA from 1 species
AUGGCUCUGGAAUGGCUCUCCGGCUGCUCCCGGGGUUUUUCCAUGGAUUUCUGGGAUUGCAGAGUUUGCCCAGGCUGAGGCGGCCGAGGUGGACAGCGGAGCUGCCAUGGACACGUCUGAGCCCACCAAGGUCAGAAUUCCCGCAAUUCCCGGAUCCUUCCGGCACCUCCCGACAUUCCCGACAUUCCCAUCCCGUCGUUCCCAUCGUUCCCAUCCCAUCAUUCCCAUCAUUUCCAUCAUUCCCAUCUCUUCAAUCCCAUCAAUCCCAUCAAUCCCAUCAUUCCCAUCAAUCCCAUCCCAUCAUUCCCAUCAUUCCCAUCAUUCCCAUCCUGUCAUUCCCAUCAUUCCAAUCAUUCCCAUCAAUCCCAGUAAUCCCAUAAAUCCCAUCCCAUAAAUCCCAUCCCAUCAUUCCCAUCAAUCCCAUAAGUCCCAUCCCAUCCCAUAAAUCCCAUCAUUCCCAUCUCUUCAAUCCCAUAAAUCCCAUCCCACCAUUCCCAUCAUUCCCAUCAAUCCCAUCAAUCCCAUCAAUCCCAUCAUUCCCACCAAUCCCAUCCCACCAUUCCCAUCAUUCCCAUCAUUCCCAUCCUGUCAUUCCCAUCAAUCCCAUAAAUCCCAGUAAUCCCAUAAAUCCCAUCCCAUAAAUCCCAUCCCAUCAUUCCCAUCUCUUCAAUCCCAUCAAUCCCAUCAUUCCCAUCCCAUCAUUCCCAUCAUUCCCAUCCCAUUCCCACCAUUCCCAGGACGGGAUCGAGCUCCUCCUCCAGCCCCGUCCAUCCCAAACCCCUCCCAGAUUCCCUGUUCUGGCUCCCGUGGGAUUUUUGGGAUCCCAAAUUCCCCUGGGAAUGAUCCCAAAUCCCCAGGAAUGAUCCCAAAUCCCUGGGAAUGAUCCCAAAUCCCCGGGAACGAUCCCAAUUCCCCGGGAACGAUCCCAAUUCCCCGGGAACGACCCCAAAUCCCCAGGAACGACCCCAAAUCCCCGGGAAUGACCCCAAAUCCCCAGGAACGACCCCAAAUUCCCGGGAACGAUCCCAAAUCCCCGGGGACGAUCCCAAAUCCCUGGGAACGAUCCCAAAUCCCCGGGGACGAUCCCAAAUCCCUGGGAACGAUCCCAAUUCCCCAGGAUGAUCCUAAAUCCUGAGGAACGAUCCCAAAUCCCCCCAGGAACGAUCCCAAAUCCC